rnacentral:rRNA from 1 species
CUUUCUUUCACCGAAUGCUUGCAUUCACCGAAAGAAGCUUAGUGGCGAACGGGUGAGUAACACGUAGGCAACCUGCCCAAAAGAGGGGGAUAACACUUGGAAACAGGUGCUAAUACCGCAUAACCAUGAACACCGCAUGAUGUUCAUGUAAAAGACGGCUUUUGCUGUCACUUUUGGAUGGGCCUGCGGCGUAUUAACUUGUUGGUGGGGUAACGGCCUACCAAGGUGAUGAUACGUAGCCGAACUGAGAGGUUGAUCGGCCACAUUGGGACUGAGACACGGCCCAAACUCCUACGGGAGGCAGCAGUAGGGAAUCUUCCACAAUGGACGCAAGUCUGAUGGAGCAACGCCGCGUGAAUGAAGAAGGCCUUCGGGUCGUAAAAUUCUGUUGUCAGAGAAGAACGUGCGUGAGAGUAACUGUUCACGUAUUGACGGUAUCUGACCAGAAAGCCACGGCUAACUACGUGCCAGCAGCCGCGGUAAUACGUAGGUGGCGAGCGUUGUCCGGAUUUAUUGGGCGUAAAGGGAACGCAGGCGGUCUUUUAAGUCUGAUGUGAAAGCCUUCGGCUUAACCGAAGUAGUGCAUUGGAAACUGGAAGACUUGAGUGCAGAAGAGGAGAGUGGAACUCCAUGUGUAGCGGUGAAAUGCGUAGAUAUAUGGAAGAACACCAAUGGCGAAAGCGGCUCUCUGGUCUGUAACUGACGCUGAGGUUCGAAAGCGUGGGUAGCAAACAGGAUUAGAUACCCUGGUAGUCCACGCCGUAAACGAUGAGUGCUAAGUGUUGGAGGGUUUCCGCCCUUCAGUGCUGCAGCUAACGCAUUAAGCACUCCGCCUGGGGAGUACGGUCGCAAGACUGCAACUCAAAGGAAUUGACGG